UCCUGGCUCAGGAUGAACGCUAGCUACAGGCUUAACACAUGCAAGUCGAGGGCAGCAUGAAACUUAGCUUGCUAAGUUUGAUGGCGACCGGCGCACGGGUGAGUAACACGUAUCCAACCUACCGUUUACUACGGGAUAGCCUUCUGAAAAGGAGAUUAAUACCGUAUGGUAUUCUAAAGUUUCAUGACAUUAGAAUUAAAGGUUUACCGGUAAUCGAUGGAGAUGCGUUCCAUUAGAUAGUAGGCGGGGUAACGGCCCACCUAGUCAGCGAUGGAUAGGGGUUCUGAGAGGAAGGUCCCCCACAUUGGAACUGAGACACGGUCCAAACUCCUACGGGAGGCAGCAGUGAGGAAUAUUGGUCAAUGGGCGAGAGCCUGAACCAGCCAAGUAAGCGUGAAGGAUGACUGCCCUAUGGGUUGUAAACUUCUUUUAUAAAGGAAUAAAGUGGUCCACGUGUGGAUUUUUGUAUGUACUUUAUGAAUAAGGAUCGGCUAACUCCGUGCCAGCAGCGGC
rnacentral:rRNA from 1 species